rnacentral:rRNA from 1 species
UGUAAGCGUAUACCAAAGUUGUUGCAGUUAAAACGCUCGUAGUCGGAAUUUGGCAGUUCCGGAUGUGUGCACGUCGUGUGCGCACUUCGCGGGGAUUGCUUUUGUGGUCUUGCGUAGGAUGAGGCACUUUUAUUAGUGAACGUCCUCACGCAACCACUUUUUACUGUGAGAAAAUCAGAGUGCUCAAAGCAGGCAUUUACCGUGAAUGUAUUAGCAUGGAAUAAUAGAAUAGGACUUGGUUCUAUUUUGUUGGUUUGUUGGGACUGAGUAAUGAUUAAGAGGGACAGUUGGGGGCAUUUGUAUUUCGGUGCUAGAGGUGAAAUUCUUAGAUUACCGAAAGACAAACUGCUGCGAAAGCGUCUGCCAAGGAUGUUUUCAUUGA